rnacentral:rRNA from 1 species
AUCCAGACUCCUACGGGAGGCAGCAGUGGGGAAUAUUGCACAAUGGGGGAAACCCUGAUGCAGCGACGCCGCGUGAGUGAAGAAGUAUUUCGGUAUGUAAAGCUCUAUCAGCAGGGAAGAAAAUGACGGUACCUGACUAAGAAGCCCCGGCUAACUACGUGCCAGCAGCCGCGGUAAUACGUAGGGGGCAAGCGUUAUCCGGAUUUACUGGGUGUAAAGGGAGCGUAGACGGCAUGGCAAGUCAGAUGUGAAAGCCCGGGGCUCAACCCCGGGACUGCAUUUGAAACUGUCAGGCUGGAGUGCAGGAGAGGUAAGUGGAAUUCCUAGUGUAGCGGUGAAAUGCGUAGAUAUUAGGAGGAACACCAGUGGCGAAGGCGGCCUGCUGGACGAUGACUGACGUUGAGGCUCGAAAGCGCGGGGAGCAAACAGGAUUAGAUACCCGCGUAAC